rnacentral:rRNA from 1 species
CGAGUAGGGCGAGGCACGUGAAACCUUGUCUGAAUAUGGGGGGACCAUCCUCCAAGGCUAAAUACUCCUGACUGACCGAUAGUGAACCAGUACCGUGAGGGAAAGGCGAAAAGAACCCCUGUGAGGGGAGUGAAAUAGAUCCUGAAACCGCAUGCAUACAAGCAGUGGGAGCACCUUCGUGGUGUGACUGCGUACCUUUUGUAUAAUGGGUCAGCGACUUAUAUUCAGUAGCGAGGUUAACCGUAUAGGGGAGCCGUAGAGAAAUCGAGUCUUAAUAGGGCGUUUAGUUGCUGGGUAUAGACCCGAAACCAGGCGAUCUAUCCAUGAGCAGGUUGAAGGUUGGGUAACACUAACUGGAGGACCGAACCCACUGUCGUUGAAAAGCCAGGGGAUGACUUGUGGAUAGGGGUGAAAGGCUAAUCAAGCCUGGUGAUAGCUGGUUCUCCCCGAAAGCUAUUUAGGUAGCGCCUCGGACGAAUACCAUAGGGGGUAGAGCACUGUUUCGGCUAGGGGGUCAUCCCGACUUACCAAACCGAUGCAAACUCCGAAUACCUAUGAGUACUAUCCGGGAGACAGACUGCGGGUGCUAACGUCCGUAGUCAAGAGGAAAACAAUCCAGACCGCCAGCUAAGGCCCCAAAAUCAUAGUUAAGUGGGAAACGAUGUGGGAAGGCAUAGACAGCUAGGAGGUUGGCUUAGAAGCAGCCACCCUUUAAAGAAAGCGUAAUAGCUCACUAGUCGAGUCGGCCUGCGCGGAAGAUGUAACGGGGCUAAAACUAUGUGCCGAAGCUGCGGAUGUAUACUUUGUAUACGUGGUAGGGGAGCGUUCUGUAAGCCGAUGAAGGUGUGUUGAGAAGCAUGCUGGAGGUAUCAGAAGUGCGAAUGCUGACGUGAGUAACGACAAAACGGGUGAAAAACCCGUUCGCCGAAAGACCAAGGGUUCCAGUCCAACGUUAAUCGGGGCUGGGUGAGUCGACCCCUAAGGCGAGGCCGAAAGGCGUAGUCGAUGGGAAAAUGGUUAAUAUUCCAUUACUUCUGUGUAAUGCGAUGAGAGGACGGAGAAGGCUAAAUCAGCCUGGCGUUGGUUGUCCAGGUGAAAGGAUGUAGGCAUGUAUCUUAGGCAAAUCCGGGGUACUCUAUGCUGAGAUCUGAUAGCAAGCUGUACUUGUACAGCGAAGUGGUUGAUGCCAUGCUUCCAGGAAAAGUCUCUAAGCUUCAGUUACACAGGAAUCGUACCCGAAACCGACACAGGUGGUCAGGUCGAGUAGACCAAGGCGCUUGAGAGAACUCUGCUGAAGGAACUAGGCAAAAUGGUACCGUAACUUCGGGAGAAGGUACGCUGUUGUUGGUGAUGGAACUCGCUUCCUGAGCUGACGACAGCCGCAGAAACCAGGCCGCUGCAACUGUUUAUUAAAAACAUAGCACUCUGCAAACACGAAAGUGGACGUAUAGGGUGUGAUGCCUGCCCGGUGCUGGAAGGUUAAUUGAUGGGGUUAGCGUAAGCGAAGCUCUUGAUCGAAGCCCCAGUAAAC